AUUGCCCUAGUAACGGCGAGUGAAGCGGCAACAGCUCAAAUUUGAAAUCUGGCCCUUGGGUCCGAGUUGUAAUUUGUAGAGGAUGCUUUUGGUGCGGUACCUUCCGAGUUCCCUGGAACGGGACGCCAUAGAGGGUGAGAGCCCCGUCUGGUUGGAUACCAAUCCUCUGUAAAGCUCCUUCGACGAGUCGAGUAGUUUGGGAAUGCUGCUCUAAAUGGGAGGUAUAUGUCUUCUAAAGCUAAAUAUUGGCCAGAGACCGAUAGCGCACAAGUAGAGUGAUCGAAAGAUGAAAAGCACUUUGAAAAGAGGGUUAAACAGUACGUGAAAUUGUUGAAAGGGAAGCGCUUGUGACCAGACUUGGGCCCGGUUAAUCAUCCACCGUUCUCGGUGGUGCACUUGGCCGGCCCAGGCCAGCAUCAGUUCGGCGCGGGGGAUAAAGGCUUCGGGAAUGUGGCUCCUCCGGGAGUGUUAUAGCCCGUUGUGUAAUACCCUGUACUGGACUGAGGUUCGCGCAUCUGCAAGGAUGCUGGCGUAAUGGUCAUCAGCGACCCGUCUUGAAACACGGACCAAGGAGUCGUCUUCGUAUGCGAGUGUUCGGGUGUUAAACCCCUACGCGUAAUGAAAGUGAACGCAGGUGAGAGCUUCGGCGCAUCAUCGACCGAUCCUGAUGUUCUCGGAUGGAUUUGAGUAAGAGCAUACGGAGCCGGACCCGAAAGAAGGUGAACUAUGCCUGUAUAGGGUGAAGCCAGAGGAAACUCUGGUGGAGGCUCGCAGCGGUUCUGACGUGCAAAUCGAUCGUCAAAUAUGGGCAUGGGGGCGAAAGACUAAU
rnacentral:rRNA from 1 species